GUAACGUUGUCUAUCGAAAGGCAAAAAAACUUAAGGCCGACCCGGACAUGGUCUACAAAGAACAAGACGACGAGCCAUAUCAUGAGCAAAUGCUUGCUAGCGAUUUGGAAGCGCUGUUCAUCGAAAGACGCCAAAUUGAAAAACAGUUUGACGCUCUGAAAAAGAGAAAGAUCGAGAUCGAUAGUCAAAUCGCGAAACGACUCAAGCAAGGGGAAACUAGCAAAACACGCAAAACAGGAUCA